AGAAUCAACGCUGGCGGCGUGCCUAACACAUGCAAGUCGAACGCGAAAGUUCCGCAAGGGAUGAGUAGAGUGGCGAACGGGUGAGUAACGCGUGGGUGACCUGCCUUCGAGUGGGGGAUAACGUUUCGAAAGGGACGCUAAUACCGCAUGACAUCCGGCCUUUGGAGAGGCGGAGAUCAAAGCUGGGGAUCGUAAGACCUGGCGCUCGGAGAGGGGCCCGCGUCCGAUUAGCUAGUUGGUGGGGUAAUGGCCUACCAAGGCGACGAUCGGUAGCCGGCCUAAGAGGGCGGACGGCCACACUGGGACUGAGACACGGCCCAGACUCCUACGGGAGGCAGCAGUGGGGAAUUGUUCGCAAUGGGCGCAAGCCUGACGACGCAACGCCACGUGGAGGACGAAGGCUUUCGGGUCGUAAACUCCUGUCGUGCGGGACGAAUGCCUCUUCUUUUGAAUACGGGGAGAGGGUGACGGUACCGCGAAAGGACGCCCGGCUAACGUCCGUGCCAGCAGCCGC
rnacentral:rRNA from 1 species